rnacentral:rRNA from 1 species
CCUACGGGAGGCAGCAGUGGGGAAUAUUGGGCAAUGGGCGAAAGCCUGACCCAGCAACGCCGCGUGAAGGAAGAAGGCUUUCGGGGUGUAAACUUCUUUUGACAGGGAAGAGAAGAAGACGGUACCUGUCGAAUAAGCCACGGCUAACUACGUGCCAGCAGCCGCGGUAAUACGUAGGUGGCAAGCGUUGUCCGGAUUUACUGGGUGUAAAGGGCGUGUAGCCGGGCUGACAAGUCAGAUGUGAAAUCCGGGGGCUCAACCCCCGAACUGCAUUUGAAACUGUUGGUCUUGAGUAUCGGAGAGGCAGGCGGAAUUCCUAGUGUAGCGGUGAAAUGCGUAGAUAUUAGGAGGAACACCAGUGGCGAAGGCGGCCUGCUGGACGACAACUGACGGUGAGGCGCGAAAGCGUGGGGAGCAAACAGGAUUAGAUACCCGGGUAGUC